UCGACCCAAAACACCUAACCCUCACAUCUUUUUCUCUCCCUCUCUCAUUCAGCCGCCUUACCCCUACUCCAUUUCUCUCAAUCUCUGUCUCCCAUCCCUCUCUCUCCCAUGGUCUCUCUCGAUGACUCACCAUCUCCAUCUCUCAGCCCCACUCUGUCUAUCUAUCUCUAUCUCUCUCUCUCUCUCUCUCUCUCUCUCUCUCUCUCUUUGUAUCAGGCAUCGCCGACGGUGUGGUGGGCUUGACAACAAAGGCAAAGGCGGAGGCGGAGACAGAGGCAGAGGCAGGGGUCUCGGCUCUCUCAGUCCUUCGUCCUCCCAUCUCUCUCUCUCUCUCGUUCAUUUUUUUUUUCUUUUUGCAGAUGGUGCUCAUGUUGGUGGUGAUUGUUCUGGGUGGCCGUGGUUCAGAGUGGUGGUGGCAGCAGGCUAUGGCUUAGGAUGUUAUAAUACAACAGAGUUGUGGUGGUGCGUGGCAUGGUUGGUGGUGCAACGGGGCUUGCCAACCCUUAACAGCAAUUGAGAGAUUAGCAGAGGCGUCUCUGCCAAGAAUGCCACGACAUCGAACACCAAAUUAGAGGCAAUGCCCUCUCUCUCUCUCUCUCUCUCUCUCUCUCUCUCUCUCUCUCUCCAAGGUAAAUUUCUUUUUUAGUGGUUGAGGUUAUUAUUUUUUGAUAUGGGUUUGUUUGCUUGAUUGUUUCUAGAUGUUCAGAGAGAGAAGGGUGUGGAGAAAGCCAUUAAAGAUGCUGCCAAGAGAAAUGACAUGGGCUCAGCCAAGGUGUCAGUGAAAAUGCCUCAAUGGAGUAAUAUUGUUGUGGUGUCCACGCCACGCCUCAAUGUAUUCAUCUUUUUUAUUUGCAAGGAAGCUAGGGAUACAUUUGUUCAGAUUGAUCAUACUUUGGGCUAUAUUGUUCAUUAAGUUAGGAAUAUUUGUUUCUUUCUUGGUAUUGAUUAAAUGUAUAAUAAAUCUUGGAUACUAUUUGACAUCUCAUUGAGUAUAAGUUUUGUAAUUAUCUCAUUGAAUUUAUAA